CACGAUCCGUAAGGAUUCCGAGCUACCGGAGACUCCAGUUCUUGUCUUGUUGCUCCACCAUCCCUCGGGCAUGGCCCUUGUCUGAAUGAAUAUUUGACCACACAUGGGUGGAUGGAUAUUCCAGCCAGGAGGACUGAGGGUCCCUGUCCUGACCUCCGGAGCUUACAAUGAAAUGAACUGAGCCAGAGAGGAUGCUACAGCAGAGAGAGACGAUGGCCAGCGUGACAGAAGGGAUUCAUCUAAGAUUCUUUUCCAUUAUAGGUUAUUACAAGAUAUUGAAUAUAGUUCCCUGUGCUAUACAGUAAGUUCUUGUUAUUUAUCUAUUUUGUAUAUAGUAGUGUGUAUCUGUUAAUCUCAAACUCCUAAUUUAUCCCUCCCC